rnacentral:rRNA from 1 species
AGCAACAAAUGCCCUGCUUCCAGGAAAAGCCUCUAAGCAUCAGGUAACAUCAAAUCGUACCCCAAACCGACACAGGUGGUCAGGUAGAGAAUACCAAGGCGCUUGAGAGAACUCGGGUGAAGGAACUAGGCAAAAUGGUGCCGUAACUUCGGGAGAAGGCACGCUGACACGUAGGUGAAGUGAUUUACUCAUGGAGCUGAAGUCAGUCGAAGAUACCAGCUGGCUGCAACUGUUUAUUAAAAACACAGCACUGUGCAAACACGAAAGUGGACGUAUACGGUGUGACGCCUGCCCGGUGCCGGAAGGUUAAUUGAUGGGGUCAGCGCAAGCGAAGCUCCUGAUCGAAGCCCCGGUAAACGGCGGCCGUAACUAUAACGGUCCUAAGGUAGCGAAAUUCCUUGUCGGGUAAGUUCCGACCUGCACGAAUGGCGUAAUGAUGGCCAGGCUGUCUCCACCCGAGACUCAGUGAAAUUGAACUCGCUGUGAAGAUGCAGUGUACCCGCGGCAAGACGGAAAGACCCCGUGAACCUUUACUAUAGCUUGACACUGAACAUUGAGCCUUGAUGUGUAGGAUAGGUGGGAGGCUUUGAAGCGUGGACGCCAGUCUGCGUGGAGCCGACCUUGAAAUACCACCCUUUAAUGUUUGAUGUUCUAACGUGGACCCGUGAUCCGGGUUGCGGACAGUGUCUGGUGGGUAGUUUGACUGGGGCGGUCUCCUCCUAAAGAGUAACGGAGGAGCACGAAGGUUGGCUAAUCCUGGUCGGACAUCAGGAGGUUAGUGCAAUGGCAUAAGCCAGCUUGACUGCGAGCGUGACGGCGCGAGCAGGUGCGAAAGCAGGUCAUAGUGAUCCGGUGGUUCUGAAUGGAAGGGCCAUCGCUCAACGGAUAAAAGGUACUCCGGGGAUAACAGGCUGAUACCGCCCAAGAGUUCAUAUCGACGGCGGUGUUUGGCACCUCGAUGUCGGCUCAUCACAUCCUGGGGCUGAAGUAGGUCCCAAGGGUAUGGCUGUUCGCCAUUUAAAGUGGUACGCGAGCUGGGUUUAGAACGUCGUGAGACAGUUCGGUCCCUAUCUGCCGUGGGCGCUGGAGAACUGAGGGGGGCUGCUCCUAGUACGAGAGGACCGGAGUGGACGCAUCACUGGUGUUCGGGUUGUCAUGCCAAUGGCACUGCCCGGUAGCUAAAUGCGGAAGAGAUAAGUGCUGAAAGCAUCUAAGCACGAAACUUGCCCCGAGAUGAGUUCUCCCUGAGACUUUAGGUCUCCUGAAGGAACGUUGAAGACGACGACGUUGAUAGGCCGGGUGUGUAAGCGCAGCGAUGCGUUGAGCUAACCGGUACUAAUGAACCGUGAGGCUUAACCUUACAACGCCGAA